UACGAGGGGGGCAAGCGUUGUUCGGAAUUAUUGGGCGUAAAGGGUGCGUAGGCGGUCUGACAAGUCUGAUGUGAAAUCUAUGGGCUCAACCCAUAGUCUGCAUCGGAAACUGCCGGGCUUGAGUGUGGGAGAGGUGAGUGGAAUUCCUGGUGUAGCGGUGAAAUGCGUAGAUAUCAGGAGGAACACCUGUGGCGAAAGCGGCUCACUGGACCAUAACUGACGCUGAUGCACGAAAAGCUAGGGGAGCAAACAGG
rnacentral:rRNA from 1 species